CCUACGGGUGGCAGCAGUGAGGAAUAUUGGUCAAUGGACGAGAGUCUGAACCAGCCAAGUAGCGUGAAGGAUGACUGCCCUAUGGGUUGUAAACUUCUUUUAUAUGGGAAUAAAACGUUCCACGUGUGGGAUUUUGUAUGUACCAUAUGAAUAAGGAUCGGCUAACUCCGUGCCAGCAGCCGCGGUAAUACGGAGGAUCCGAGCGUUAGCCGGAUUUAUUGGGUUUAAAGGGAGCGUAGGUGGAUUGUUAAGUCAGUUGUGAAAGUUUGCGGCUCAACCGUAAAAUUGCAGUUGAAACUGGCAGUCUUGAGUACAGUAGAGGUGGGCGGAAUUCGUGGUGUAGCGGUGAAAUGCUUAGAUAUCACGAAGAACUCCGAUUGCGAAGGCAGUUCACUGGACUGCAACUGACACUGAGGCUCGAAAGUGUGGGUAUCAAACAGGAUUAGAUACCCUUGUAGUC
rnacentral:rRNA from 1 species